GGUGAAACAUGGCUGAGAUAAAGGAACCUCUGUGCUUCCCCCCAAAGCACUACUCCUUUGACACCCUUGUAUGGAAACAGUUAAUAUUUUCUCAUUGUUCGGAAUAUGCUUCUUCCUUCUCUGUGCCAUGGAAAAAAAAUCACUCAGUAUCAAACAGCUGAGAGAGCUGACUGGGGAUGGAUCUGGUACCUCUGAGAUACUCUAUUGAUUUGAAGCAUGAAAAAUCCGAAGAAUAAAAAAAUAUGGUGCCACAUCAUCUGCUGGAGAAGAAUUUGAAUGGCAGCAUGUACGCCCAUCAGCUUCAGGAGGGAAAAUGCGCUGUGCACAGAAUGGAUUUCCUAGAUGCUCACUGGGUUUACAGGUUCGCUUUAAAGAAGGAGAGACAUUCAAGUCACCUACUACCAUAGAAGAAACGAUCACUGUACAAAUGGAUUUCUUUU
rnacentral:lncRNA from 1 species